UGCCCUCCCUUUCAUUUAGCGCCUAUUUGAAGAACAUUGUUCGCGACAGAAGGCUUUUUGUUUUUGUGAGAAGAGAACAAGGUACCCUCGUGGACACCCCUGGACCCCCUCAGGCGCAAAAAGGAAAAUGAACUUGCUUCAAAUGAUGAAGUAUAAUUCCCAGUGUCUCAAGGAUUUGCUCUUCAGCCUUGGUCCUCCUAUUACUG